AGAAACAUAAAUCAUUUGGUUGUGAUUUGGCCGAAGAAAAUUGAGACUGGAAAUAUAUAGCAUUAGGUAGAAGGAUGGAUGUACAUAUAACUAUAGGAUAUGUGCUAAACAUAUAGUUCAAAUUGGAAAAAGCAAAUAAGUUGGUAACACAAAAAGAUUAGUAUAGAACAUGUGAUUUAUAAGUUGCUAUAAUUUAAGUGAUCUAAUUGUUAUAAUCUACUGUACCAGACUACAAACCAAAACCAACGACUAAACUUUGUAUGUCUAGAUUUAAUAAUAUUGUAUAAAUAUAUGAAUGUUUAACAAAUUAAACUGAAGUAAAAGGCUGCACAAAAACCAGUUAACCAAACUAUAAUUUUCGGUGUGUGGACAUGAAAAUGUUGAAUCCUAUCAACCUAUAAGCUAUGCAAUAAAUAGAAACUUGAUAAAUGAUUUGAUUGUGCGAGAACUCAG
rnacentral:lncRNA from 1 species